rnacentral:rRNA from 1 species
CACUCCUACGGGAGGCAGCAGUGGGGAAUUUUGGACAAUGGGCGAAAGCCUGAUCCAGCAAUGCCGCGUGAGUGAAGAAGGCCUUCGGGUUGUAAAGCUCUUUUGUCAGGGAAGAAACGGUGAAAGCUAAUAUCUUUUGCUAAUGACGGUACCUGAAGAAUAAGCACCGGCUAACUACGUGCCAGCAGCCGCGGUAAUACGUAGGGUGCAAGCGUUAAUCGGAAUUACUGGGCGUAAAGCGUGCGCAGGCGGUUUUGUAAGUCUGAUGUGAAAUCCCCGGGCUCAACCUGGGAAUUGCAUUGGAGACUGCAAGGCUAGAAUCUGGCAGAGGGGGGUAGAAUUCCACGUGUAGCAGUGAAAUGCGUAGAUAUGUGGAGGAACACCGAUGGCGAAGGCAGCCCCCUGGGUCAAGAUUGACGCUCAUGCACGAAAGCGUGGGGAGCAAACAGGAUUAGAUACCCGAGUAGUCCCA